rnacentral:rRNA from 1 species
UAGGGAAUUUUCCACAAUGGGCGAAAGCCUGAUGGAGCAACGCCGCGUGCAGGAUGAAUGCCUUCGGGUUGUAAACUGCUUUUAUGUGCGAAGAAUAUGACGGUAACACAUGAAUAAGGGUCGGCUAACUACGUGCCAGCAGCCGCGGUCAUACGUAGGACCCAAGCGUUAUCCGGAAUUACUGGGCGUAAAGAGUUGCGUAGGUGGCAUAGUAAGUGUGACGUGAAAGCGUGCGGCUCAACCGCAUUAUUGCGUCGCAAACUACUAAGCUUGAGUAUGAGAGAGGUAGAUGGAAUUUCCAGUGUAGGAGUGAAAUCCGUAGAUAUUGGAAGGAACACCGAUGGCGUAGGCAGUCUACUGGCUCAUUACUGACACUAAGGCACGAAAGCGUGGGGAGCAAACG